GGCACAUUAGAUUCUGGGGAAUGACCUUGCACUUCGUAAAAUAUACAGCCACUCCAACCAAGUUUUAAGAACCCACCCAACAUAUUGUUUGUAGUCAUAAGCAGUGUUGAUUGCUGGUGAGAAACAGUGCCCUGUUACUCAGAAGAAGCCUCCUUCGGGUGAGGCAGCUGAGUGGAAUUAUGGAAUCCCUCCCUCUCAGUUUUCCUGAGCAGGAAAUCCAGCCACAGGCUAUGAAAGCUCCCUCUGGGCCAGCAGCCUCUACCUACACAGGUGGUGGGGGAAUCCAGCCUAUGCCUAGAAUACUUUUUGAAACCCACUCUUUGGUUAGUUGUGACAAGAGCUUUAUAACCUCUGGAAGACUCUACCAUGGAAAUGCAGAUGUUAGACUUUCCCAUAACUAGUUAAUGGCGGGAGAUUAGGGGUCUGGCCUGAUACUGAUCACGUUACCAGAUCCAUCUCAUCCAUUUCCUAAGGCAGAGACAGCUGUGCCCACUUGGGUAUGUGAUAUACUUGACCUGGGAAGGACAGAAGGUUUGACUGUGCAGAUCCCUCAUCCAGACCAGAGCAUCUGCACCAGGUGUGAUGACAGCAUCCUCUGCAAGUUGUAAAAGUUGCACAGUGAUGGGAAGGAAAGAGAGGACUAAGGAUUGCACCUGGGAGGAUUCUCUGGGCCAUGCUUGGAGGGAGGCAGAUCACCUCUAUCAUAUUCCAUUGACCAGAGCUUGGUCACAGGCCACUCAAUACCAGAGGGGCUGGAAAGUCCCGAGGGAGGAGGCUCCUGGCUCUGGUUCAGGGCUGAAGUGUCUUCAUUUGCUUGACCUUUGUCUUAUGGUUACAAAUGGCGACUAGAACUUCAGGCAAGAGCUACACAUUCUCGGCCUCAAGAAGGAGAUGGCAGGAAAAGGACAAAAAGGGUUUUGUCAUUGGUUUUAGCCAAUGACUUCUUUUUAUAUCCUAUCCAAAAAGCUACUAGAAACAAACAAGAUUGCCUACAGCAUCAGAUAGGAUGCAUCUGGGUCCAAACAACAGAAGACUCAGUUGAAAGAAAAUUUUAAAAAAUGAGGAAAAUUCGGGGCUGGCCCCGUGGCCGAGUGGUUAAGUUCCCGCGCUCCGCUGCAGGCGGCCCAGUGUUUCGUUAGUUGGAAUCCUGGGCGCGGACAUGGCUCGUCAGACCACGCUGAGGCAGCGUCCCACAUACCACAACUAGAAGAACCCGCAACGAAGAAUACACAACUAUGUACCGGGGGGCUUUGGGGAGAAAAAGGAAAAAAUAAAAAUCUUUAAAAAAAAAA
rnacentral:lncRNA from 1 species